UAGGCAGGCCCAGUGUAUAGCUAUAUGCAUGUGCAUAUUUGCUCAAGGGGGCUCUGCAAAAGCAAUUCAGGGCUAAUGGGCAGUCGAGUUUCCAUGCCGAUUGAUUCCUGGACAAUCAUUCUCCCAAGAUUC
rnacentral:snoRNA from 1 species